rnacentral:rRNA from 1 species
CCCUUAGAUGUCCUGGGCCGCACGCGCGCUACACUGAUUCAAGCAACAAGUUACAACCUUGACCGAAAGGCCCGGGUAAACUUCAAAAUUGAAUCGUGCUGGGGAUAGACUAUUGCAAUUAUUAGUCUUCAACGAGGAAUUUCUAGUAAGCGCGAGUCAUCAGCUCGCGUUGAUUACGUCCCUGCCCUUUGUACACACCGCCCGUCGCUCCUACCGAUUGAAUGAUUUAGUGAGGACUUCGGACUGGGACCGAUGCGGCUUUCGGGCUGCGUCGGUAUUCUGGAAAGAUGUCCAAACUGUAUCAUUUAGAGGAAGUAAAAGUCGUANCA